CUGGACUCCUUUUUCCUAUUCUAACCACCUAACAAAAGCAAGUAAAAAUGAACAAAACAGGUCCAAUUCACAUAAGAGGUCAUAAAUCUCAAGAAAGAAAGUCACAGUGCAAUCCACAAAGGACAAUGGACCCAACUCCAGCACCAACUGCCAGAACCAAAUUACACAGGCCUAUUGACUGUUUCCAAACAAUGCAAAAGGAAAGAAGAAUACAGGAUACUACUCCUUUGUCCCUUCUCUCCAGCCCCUGACUGUGAGCCUCAACUAUAUGAUCCUCUAAAUUCCCUGUGGAGGGGAGACAUAGUCCUUGAAGCACCACCGACGGUGUUCUCUCCUCUGCCAACUUGAGGAUUACAGCCAUCUUUCUUUCUAUUUCCUCCAAACUCUGUCUCCGUAUUUUUUUAUUUGGCUCCAGUGGGCAGAGAAAGCGAAGAUUUUGGUGGCCACAAAACCAAAAGAAUUAACUAAGGAAUUGUGACACAUUUGAAGUGCAAAAAAUGCUGAAAUCUAAAACAAUUAUUUAUAUAUCUUUCUCUGUAUUAUUUCUCAACCUACUGUAAGAAGUAAUCAAUAGAAAAUUCAAUUAAAUGGAGUUAGGAGGCCAGAAGGGAGGGCUCUUGUGCCCUUUGAUCAUAGCAGAGACCAACAGAGAGAAGAAAGACUCCUCUUCUUUCCUGGCAAGGACUCAGCCAAUGAAAAGUCAUAGACUUUUUGCUUGCUGUAGCCCUCCCAACUUCCCUUUCCCCUCUAGAAAAGUGUUCUCCUCUCCUUGGUGUGCAGGGACUUUCAUGUGGUUGGCCACAGUUACAGACUUCAAAUGGUAUUCUUUGCUGAACCUGAAUAAACGCAUUUUUGUUGGAGAAAUAAUUAGUGGUUUAUUUUAUGCCAAUAAA